GAUUCGGUCGGGCGGUCCGCCUAACGGUGUGUACUGUCUGACUGGGUCUUACCUCUUGGUGAGCCGGCGUGCGCUUUAUUGUGUGCGUCGGGGAACCAGGACUUUUACCUUGAGAAAAUUAGAGUGUUCAAAGCAGGCUUAUGCUCGAAUACAUUAGCAUGGAAUAAUAAAAUAGGACGU
rnacentral:rRNA from 1 species